GACAAUAGCCAAAACAGGAGAUGGGCGGGU
rnacentral:piRNA from 1 species